CUCGGUUGACGGGAAAUGAAAAAAAAAUGUGUUUAUGUUAUAACUUACAUUUACUGCUUUAUGGCUGUCUACGUUUCUCAAAUGUUUAGUCUUGCUAAAAGUAUUAUUACUUUCUUGAAACGUCGUACAAGUCAGAUAAAAAACAAAAGUAACAAAAGAAACAGGCCGGUUACAACCAGCCGAAUAGUUUUUCUGCACUUGUAGUCAGGUCAAGGUCCUCGGCUAUCGCCUCGGACCUUGACCUGACUACUCGUGCAGAAAAACUAUCCGGCAAC
rnacentral:lncRNA from 1 species